rnacentral:rRNA from 1 species
GGGNNNUUGCGCAUGGGCGAANCCUGNCGCACAACGCCGCGUGAGCGAAGAAGGCCUUCGGGUUGUAAAGCUCUGUCAGGGGGAAAGAAGGCACCUGGGUUAAUAGCCCAAGGGUUGACGGUACCCCCAAAGGAAGCCACGGCUAACUACGUGCCAGCAGCCGCGGUAAUACGUAGGUGGCAAGCGUUGUCCGGAAUCAUUGGGCGUAAAGCGCGCGUAGGUGGCUUGUCAGGUCCGAUGUGAAAACCUGGGGCUCAACUCCAGGCCUGCAUCGGAAACCGGCUUGCUAGAGUCUGGGAGAGGAGAGUGGAAUUCCUGGUGUAGCGGUGAAAUGCGUAGAUAUCAGGAGGAACACCGGUAGCGAAGGCGGCUCUCUGGAACAGUACUGACGCUGAGGCGCGAAAGCUAGGGGAGCGAACAGGAUUAGAUACCCUGGUAGUCCUAGCCGUAAACGAUGGACACUAGGUGUCGGGGGUGUCGACUCCCUCGGUGCCGAAGCUAACGCAUUAAGUGUCCCGCCUGGGGAGUACGGCCGCAAGGCUAAAACUCAAAAAAAUUGACGGA